GUGGUGGUUGUGUUGCAACAAUUUGUGAAGGUGGUAUUGUUGGGUCUGUUGAAGUUGAUUGAGUUUGUGGAGGUGGUGUUCCUUCAAGAUGUGUAAGAGGUGUGCUUACUGGUUGUGUAGUUGAAUGAUCUGCUUGAAUGGCUUGUGGACUAGUGUUUCUUUUGUGAUCCAAUAUUUUUUAUUUUUUAAUUCCUUUCCAGCCUUUCUGUUUUUUUUUUUUAAUUUUCGGGCAGAGGGAACCUUGACAUGAAUUUAUCUUCUUUCUAUUUGUUGUCCAUUUCUUCAUCAAGUAAAUUUGAAUGUCUUCCAUCAUGGUUAUGAUGAGCUUACUCCUUGCAUUGAUGAUUGUAUGGCUUACCUCAUUCAUACAACCACCCUUAUUACCAUGUACUUCAACUUCACCUUCCUUCACAACUCCAUCACCCCAAGGGGAAAAUAUUUUAAUAUAGUUAGUAUUUGAUGUUCGAACACUAUAUGUACAACAUACAAGGGAACUUGGCCAUUGAGUGUGUAUGACAUGCACUUUUUUCAUCACACAACAAUUCUAACCUUUCUUAUAACACAAAACCUCCACCUACCGAAUACCACAUCUCUUUCUAAUUGACAUAAUCCAUUUCCUCCAAAAUUGUUAAAAUCUCGAAGUGAAUCCAUCUUUCUAGGUCACAUGAAAAAGUAUUGGUUUCUCCAACAUAUUUUAGUGACCCAUUAUUCACAAACUUCCCAC
rnacentral:lncRNA from 1 species